GCGGCGCUACCUUUCUCCAAACAACGUUGCCACACGCGGAGAGCACGGAGAUUUCUGGGGCUUUGGAGGGAAUCGUGAGCGGGCGGGAGGAGGCCGGGGACCACACAGAGAAUAACUUGUCUGACUACCAGUAUUCUUGGAUGCAGAAGUGCUGAAGAUGAGCACACACACGUACGGAGAAUUUCUGGAGAAUUCAGCUGCUCAGAACAAGAACUGAGAUCCAGAGAGAUGAUGACUUUGCCCAUAGACCAAACAAAGAAAUACAUGUUUCAGUCCUGUGUCCUCCUGCUAUGUGUGUCCGGAAUUGGUGGGUUCUUGGUCUCACUGACUUCAAGAAUGAAGCUGCGGACCCUCGCGCUCUGGAAGAAAACACAUUGAAUUCAUGAUCAUGGUUAACCUUUGGAGAGAGAGAGGAGACCAGGAUGAAGGAGCCAGUCGAAGAUCCUGUUCAAGUGUACACUGAGCCAGCAGGUUCACCAGAAAGCUAUUGAGCGUUUGCUGGAACACAUUAUGCAGGGUGAAUUUCUUCUGGAAUGUUGCCAAGGAUUUUUUAUGCUUCUGUGGCAGGCAUUUCUUGAACAUUGUCAUUUAGCCAAGCAAAGAAGAUUUUCUUAAAGGAUAGAAAAUGUUUAAAAAUUUUUGUUUGUUUGAAGAUAGGUUAAAUGGCUAUAUGAUCUCAGGAUAAGACAGAGAAAAUCACUUAUUUCUCUAAGUGAUCUGAUUAGGUUAGUGAUGUUUUGCCUUUAAACAGAUUCAUCAUUAUUCCUAAAGUAUUGCUGUAUUAAUACUGUCUUCUAGAAAGUAUCCACCAGUGCCUACUUUUCUUCGAUAUCAUUAGCUGUUUUUCGAAACUGAAUUUGCUCUUCAGAGAUUUCUCAUAUGUUUGCGUAUAAGGAACUACUGGUAAUAGCCAAGAAAAUUUGGAGGUGCAGAGAACAUGCUGAAACAGAAUUUUUCACUUUCAAUUCUAGAACUAUGCCAUAAAAAAAAA
rnacentral:lncRNA from 1 species